rnacentral:rRNA from 1 species
CCUACGGGCGCUGCAGUGAGGUAUAUUGGUCAAUGGGCGCGAGCCUGAACCAGCCAAGUAGCGUGAAGGAUGACUGCCCUACGGGUUGUAAACUUCUUUUAUUAAGGAAUAAAGUGAGGCCCGUGUUCCUUUUUUUCUGUACUUUCUGAAUAAGGAUCGGCUAACUCCGUGCCCGCAGCCGCGGUAAUACGGAGGGUCCGAGCGUUAUCCGGAUUUAUUGGGUUUAAAGGGAGCGUAGAUGGGUUGUUAAGUCAGUUGUGAAAGUUUGCGGCUCAACCGUAAAAUUGCAAUUGAUACUGGCAGGCUUGAGUACAGUUGAGGUAGGCGGAAUUCGUGGUGUAGCGGUGAAAUGCUUAGAUAUCACGAAGAACUCCGAUUGCGAAGGCAGCUUACUAAACUGCAACUGACAUUGAUGCUCGAAAGUGUGGGUAUCAAACAGGAUUAGAUACCCGGGUAGUC